rnacentral:rRNA from 1 species
UACGAAGGGGGCUAGCGUUGCUCGGAAUCACUGGGCGUAAAGGGUGCGUAGGCGGGUCUUAAGUCAGGGGUGAAAUCCUGGAGCUCAACUCCAGAACUGCCUUUGAUACUGAAGAUCUUGAGUUCGGGAGAGGUGAGUGGAACUGCGAGUGUAGAGGUGAAAUUCGUAGAUAUUCGCAAGAACACCAGUGGCGAAGGCGGCCAACUGGUCCGGUACUGACGCUGAGGUGGCGAAAGCGUGGGGAGCAAAC